AGGGAUGUAACUCAGUGGUAGAGGAAUAUGUUGCGCAGGUUCGACUCCUGCCAUCCCGA
rnacentral:tRNA from 1 species